UAACCUGCCCAAGAGAUCGGGAUAACACCUGGAAACAGAUGCUAAUACCGGAUAACAACAGAUGAUGCCUAUCAACUGUUUAAAAGAUGGUUCUGCUAUCACUCUUGGAUGGACCUGCGGUGCAUUAGCUAGUUGGUAGGGUAACGGCCUACCAAGGCGAUGAUGCAUAGCCGAGUUGAGAGACUGAUCGGCCACAUUGGGACUGAGACACGGCCCAAACUCCUACGGGAGGCAGCAGCC
rnacentral:rRNA from 1 species